rnacentral:rRNA from 1 species
GGUUCAUUCAAAUUUCUGCCCUAUCAACUUUCGACGGCUGGGUCUUGGCCAGCCAUGGUGACAACGGGUAACUGGAGGUUAGGGCUCGACCCCGGAGAAGGAGCCUGAGAAACGGCUACUACAUCCAAGGAAGGCAGCAGGCGCGCAAAUUACCCAAUCCCGACCGGGGAGGUAGUGACAAUAAAUACUGAUACAGGGCUCUUUUGGGUCUUGUAAUUGGAAUGAGUACAAUUUACAUCCCUUAACGAGGAACAAUUGGAGGGCAAGUCUGGUGCCAGCAGCCGCGGUAAUUCCAGCUCCAAUAGCGUAUAUUAAAGUUGUUGAGGUUAAAAAGCUCGUAGUUG